GCCCCUAUCGUCUAAUGGUUAAGGACAUCUCUUUUUCGAGGAGAUAACGUGGAUUCGAUUUCUACUAGGGGUU
rnacentral:tRNA from 1 species